GCAAGUCGAGCGCAUUCCUUCGGGACCGAGCGGCGGACGGGUUAGUAACGCUUGGGAAUAUACCCUUCACUAUGGAAUAGCCUCGGGAAACUGAGAGUAAUACCGUAUACGCCCUUCGGGGGAAAGAUUUAUCGGUGAAGGAUUAGCCCGCGUUAGAUUAGAUAGUUGGUGGGGUAAUGGCCUACCAAGUCUACGAUCUAUAGCUGGUUUGAGAGGAUGAUC
rnacentral:rRNA from 1 species